rnacentral:rRNA from 1 species
UGGGGAAUAUUGGACAAUGGGCAAAAGCCUGAUCCAGCCAUGCCGCAUGAGUGAAGAAGGCCUUUGGGUUGUAAAGCUCUUUUAGUGAGGAAGAUAAUGACGGUACUCACAGAGGAAGUCCUGGCUAACUCCGUGCCAGCAGCCGCGGUAAUACGGAGAGGGCUAGCGUUAUUCGGAAUUAUUGGGCGUAAAGGGCGCGUAGGCUGGUUAGUAAGUUAAAAGUGAAAUCCCGAGGCUUAACCUUGGAACUGCUUUUAAAACUGCUAACCUAGAGAUUGAAAGAGGAUAGAGGAAUUCCUAGUGUAGAGGUGAAAUUCGUAAAUAUUAGGAGGAACACCAGUGGCGAAGGCGUCUAUCUGGUUCAAAUCUGACGCUGAGGCGCGAAGGCGUGGGGAGCAAACA